ACUUAGGUAGUUUAAAUAAAAUAUUAAUUUGUGGAAUUAAAGAAAUGAUUAUCAUCUUAAGUA
rnacentral:tRNA from 1 species